rnacentral:rRNA from 1 species
UACGUAGGGUGCAAGCGUUGUCCGGAGUUAUUGGGCGUAAAGAGCUCGUAGGCGGUCUGUCACGUCGGCUGUGAAAUCCCGAGGCUCAACCUCGGGUCUGCAGUCGAUACGGGCAAACUAGAGUAUUGCAGGGGAGACUGGAAUUCCUGGUGUAGCGGUGAAAUGCGCAGAUAUCAGGAGGAACACCGGUGGCGAAGGCGGCGACCUGGGCCAAUACUGACGCUGAGGUGCGAAAGCGUGGGGAGCAAACAGG